AAACAAGACAACCUUGAGAAACUUGAUUUUUCAACCCUUUUCGGUAAUCACUAUUGCAUUUGUUUUCAUCGUUGAUCAGUUAAUUAUUGUGUUAUAAACUAGCUAAUAGUUGUCAAGGUUUGGUAAACAUUUAUUUAUUUAACAUGAAUCAGAAGAGCCAAUAUAAACUGUGAGACAACGAAAACAAAAUAAUAAAAAAUUUGCUUUAUUUUGCUAAUUUAGAUCAAAUAUAUUAAAAUUAAUUACAUAUUUGUAUACCAAAAGUUAACACAUUAAUAAAAAUUGAGAUUGUGUUGUGAUGAGUAAUAAGAGAUGGCGCUUGAACAAUUUAAAUUCGAAAUUGUAUUGUUCGAAUUCGAAUUGCCUUUUAAAUUAGAAUUAAAAUGUUCAUUCAAGUUUCUAACUUUUUAAACUGUUCCUUCUUAAUUCCAUCGAGUUGAUUAUUAAAUUUUAUUUGAAAUGGUUUUUCAAAAUCAAGUUGAAGUUAUUAAUAUUGAUUUUUCCGAUGAAAGUUUGGACCAAUCUGAAAUUGUUUUUCAAUCGGUUAACAAAUUAAUAAGUGAAAUUGAAAAAGAAGUGAUUGAGAUUUCUGAUGAUGACAGUAAUCAUGAAGAUGUGCAAUCAACUGUGUCCCAGUGUUUGAAUAAACUUUUAAAUGAAAUUUCCUUUGAAGCGAUUGAUAUUCCCGAUGACGAUGGCAAAAGAUCACAGGAAAUUUCAGAUAAUCAAGACAGCCAAGAAAUUAAAGUUGUUUCUCCCUGUUGUGUCUCGAUUGGUUCCCAAACAUCGGAAUCUUCUGAUGAUUAUGAGAUCCAGACAACACAAUUGGGUCCACGAGUGGUCUUUGAUGAGGACAGUGUAAGAUAUUUACAAAAGAGAAGAACAGAAUUGAUGAAAAUGAAACUUUGGAAAAAAAAGUGGAAUAAAAUGUGUCGAAAUGAAAAAAGAAAAGAACGAAAACACAAGUCAAAGUCCAAACAUCGCCAUAUUAACCGGAUAAAUCCAUUUAUAUCUUAAGACGAGGAAAUAUUUUCCAAUAUGUGACUCAAAUUGUUAAUAAAAUCUUGGCAUAGUCGGUGAUCCAGCACUUCUAAAGUUGGCCAAGUUUGACUAUCAAAUAAACGAAUAUACAACGAAUUAUAUGAAACAUCAAAAAUCCAUGUACAUAAAUCAGAAAUUUUCAAUAAGUAAUUACAGAAAUGAUGUUAGUUAGAAACAAGUCCAAACCUUUUUAAUUUGAUAGACUUCAAAUGAUUUUGUAAUAUUACAAAUUAUCAACAAUAAAAUUGUUGUUUCCAAUUAA